UGCAGUCGAACGGUAACAGGGACUUCGGUCCGCUGACGAGUGGCGAACGGGUGAGUAACACAUCGGAACGUGCCCGGUAGUGGGGGAUAGCUCGGCGAAAGCCGGAUUAAUACCGCAUACGACCUACGGGUGAAAGCGGGGGACCGUAAGGCCUCGCGCUAUUGGAGCGGCCGAUGGCUGAUUAGCUUGUUGGUGAGGUAAAGGCUCACCAAGGCGACGAUCAGUAGCUGGUCUGAGAGGACGAUCAGCCACACUGGGACUGAGACACGGCCCAGACUCCUACGGGAGGCGGCAGUGGGGAAUUUUGGACAAUGGGCGCAAGCCUGAUCCAGCAAUGCCGCGUGGGCGAAGAAGGCCUUCGGGUUGUAAAGCCCUUUUGUCAGGGAAGAAAUCCUUCGAGCUAAUACCUCGGGGGGAUGACGGUACCUGUCGAAUAAGCACCGGCUAACUACGCGCCAGCAGUCGCGGUAAUACGUAGGGUGCGAGCGUUAAUCGGAAUUACUGGGCGUAAAGCGUGCGCAGGCGGUUCUGUAAGACAGGUGUGAAAUCCCCGGGCUCAACCUGGGAAUUGCAUUUGUGACUGCAGGACUAGAGUGCGGCAGAGGGAGGUGGAAUUCCACGUGUAGCAGUGAAAUGCGUAGAGAUGUGGAGGAACACCGAUGGCGAAGGCAGCCUCCUGGGCUGACACUGACGCUCAUGCACGAAAGCGUGGGGAGCAAACAGGAUUAGAUACCCUGGUAGUCCACGCCCUAAACGAUGUCGACUAGUUGUCGGGAAUUUUAUUCUUGGUAACGCAGCUAACGCGUG
rnacentral:rRNA from 1 species